GAUGAACGCUGGCGGCGUGCCUAAUACAUGCAAGUCGAGCGAACAGACGAGGAGCUUGCUCCUCUGACGUUAGCGGCGGACGGGUGAGUAACACGUGGAUAACCUACCUAUAAGACUGGGAUAACUUCGGGAAACCGGAGCUAAUACCGGAUAACAUGUUGAACCGCAUGGUUCAACAGUGAAAGACGGUCUUGCUGUCACUUAUAGAUGGAUCCGCGCCGCAUUAGCUAGUUGGUAAGGUAACGGCUUACCAAGGCAACGAUGCGUAGCCGACCUGAGAGGGUGAUCGGCCACACUGGAACUGAGACACGGUCCAGACUCCUACGGGAGGCAGCAGUAGGGAAUCUUCCGCAAUGGGCGAAAGCCUGACGGAGCAACGCCGCGUGAGUGAAGAAGGUCUUCGGAUCGUAAAACUCUGUUAUUAGGGAAGAACAAAUGUGUAAGUAACUAUGCACGUCUUGACGGUACCUAAUCAGAAAGCCACGGCUAACUACGUGCCAGCAGCCGCGGUAAUACGUAGGUGGCAAGCGUUAUCCGGAAUUAUUGGGCGUAAAGCGCGCGUAGGCGGUUUUUUAAGUCUGAUGUGAAAGCCCACGGCUCAACCGUGGAGGGUCAUUGGAAACUGGAAAACUUGAGUGCAGAAGAGGAAAGUGGAAUUCCAUGUGUAGCGGUGAAAUGCGCAGAGAUAUGGAGGAACACCAGUGGCGAAGGCGACUUUCUGGUCUGUAACUGACGCUGAUGUGCGAAAGCGUGGGGAUCAAACAGGAUUAGAUACCCUGGUAGUCCACGCCGUAAACGAUGA
rnacentral:rRNA from 1 species